CCUACGGGAGGCAGCAGUGAGGAAUAUUGGUCAAUGGACGAGAGUCUGAACCAGCCAAGUAGCGUGAAGGAUGACUGCCCUAUGGGUUGUAAACUUCUUUUAUAAAGGAAUAAAACGAGGCACGUGUGCCUUUUUGCAUGUACUUUAUGAAUAAGGAUCGGCUAACUCCGUGCCAGCAGCCGCGGUAAUACGGAGGAUCCGAGCGUUAUCCGGAUUUAUUGGGUUUAAAGGGAGCGUAGAUGGGUUGUUAAGUCAGUUGUGAAAGGUUGCGGCUCAACCGUAAAAGUGCAAUUGAUACUGGCAGUCUUGAGUACAGUUGAGGUAGGCGGAAUUCGUGGUGUAGCGGUGAAAUGCUUAGAUAUCACGAAGAACCCCGAUUGCGAAGGCAGCUUACUAAACUGUGACUGACAUUGAUGCUCGAAAGUGUGGGUAUCAAACAGGAUUAGAUACCCGGGUAGUC
rnacentral:rRNA from 1 species